rnacentral:rRNA from 1 species
CGAAUGCUGACAUAAGUAACGAUAAAGCGGGUGAAAAGCCCGCUCGCCGGAAGACCAAGGGUUCCUGUCCAACGUUAAUCGGGGCAGGGUGAGUCGACCCCUAAGGCGAGGCCGAAAGGCGUAGUCGAUGGGAAACAGGUUAAUAUUCCUGUACUUGGUGUUACUGCGAAGGGGGGACGGAGAAGGCUAUGUUGGCCGGGCGACGGUUGUCCCGGUUUAAGCGUGUAGGCUGGUUUUCCAGGCAAAUCCGGAAAAUCAAGGCUGAGGCGUGAUGACGAGGCACUACGGUGCUGAAGCAACAAAUGCCCUGCUUCCAGGAAAAGCCUCUAAGCAUCAGGUAACAUCAAAUCGUACCCCAAACCGACACAGGUGGUCAGGUAGAGAAUACCAAGGCGCUUGAGAGAACUCGGGUGAAGGAACUAGGCAAAAUGGUGCCGUAACUUCGGGAGAAGGCACGCUGAUAUGUAGGUGAAGUCCCUCGCGGAUGGAGCUGAAAUCAGUCGAAGAUACCAGCUGGCUGCAACUGUUUAUUAAAAACACAGCACUGUGCAAACACGAAAGUGGACGUAUACGGUGUGACGCCUGCCCGGUGCCGGAAGGUUAAUUGAUGGGGUCAGCGCAAGCGAAGCUCUUGAUCGAAGCCCCGGUAAACGGCGGCCGUAACUAUAACGGUCCUAAGGUAGCGAAAUUCCUUGUCGGGUAAGUUCCGACCUGCACGAAUGGCGUAAUGAUGGCCAGGCUGUCUCCACCCGAGACUCAGUGAAAUUGAACUCGCUGUGAAGAUGCAGUGUACCCGCGGCAAGACGGAAAGACCCCGUGAACCUUUACUAUAGCUUGACACUGAACAUUGAGCCUUGAUGUGUAGGAUAGGUGGGAGGCUUUGAAGUGUGGACGCCAGUCUGCAUGGAGCCGACCUUGAAAUACCACCCUUUAAUGUUUGAUGUUCUAACGUGGACCCGUGAUCCGGGUUGCGGACAGUGUCUGGUGGGUAGUUUGACUGGGGCGGUCUCCUCCUAAAGAGUAACGGAGGAGCACGAAGGUUGGCUAAUCCUGGUCGGACAUCAGGAGGUUAGUGCAAUGGCAUAAGCCAGCUUGACUGCGAGCGUGACGGCGCGAGCAGGUGCGAAAGCAGGUCAUAGUGAUCCGGUGGUUCUGAAUGGAAGGGCCAUCGCUCAACGGAUAAAAGGUACUCCGGGGAUAACAGGCUGAUACCGCCCAAGAGUUCAUAUCGACGGCGGUGUUUGGCACCUCGAUGUCGGCUCAUCACAUCCUGGGGCUGAAGUAGGUCCCAAGGGUAUGGCUGUUCGCCAUUUAAAGUGGUACGCGAGCUGGGUUUAGAACGUCGUGAGACAGUUCGGUCCCUAUCUGCCGUGGGCGCUGGAGAACUGAGGGGGGCUGCUCCUAGUACGAGAGGACCGGAGUGGACGCAUCACUGGUGUUCGGGUUGUCAUGCCAAUGGCACUGCCCGGUAGCUAAAUGCGGAAGAGAUAAGUGCUGAAAGCAUCUAAGCACGAAACUUGCCCCGAGAUGAGUUCUCCCUGACCCUUUAAGGGUCCUGAAGGAACGUUGAAGACGACGACGUUGAUAGGCCGGGUGUGUAAGCGCAGCGAUGCGUUGAGCUAACCGGUACUAAUGAACCGUGAGGCUUAACCUUACAACGCCGA